rnacentral:tRNA from 1 species
GGUUCAAGUCCCUUCUAUCCCC